AUAGAAGUUACUUCGGUACAUCGGUGACAGGUGGUGCAUGGGCUGUCGUCAGCUCGUGUCGUGAGAUGUUCGGUUAAGUCCGCUAACGAGCGCAACCCUCGUCGUAUGUUAUAUGUGUCAUACGAGACUGCCGGUAAAAGCCGGAGGAAGGUGAGGAUGAUGUCAAGUCAGCAUGACCUUUAUAUCCAGGGCUACACACACGCUACAAUGGUCUGUACAAUGGGUAGCCAAGCCGCGAGGCGGAGCCAAUCCUGAAAGCAGGCCUCAGUUCAGAUUGCAGUCUGCAACUCGACUGCAUGAAGCCGGAGUUGCUAGUAACCGCAGGUCAGCAAUACUGCGGUGAAUACGUUCCCGGGUCUU
rnacentral:rRNA from 1 species